CGAAACCUGGCGGCGUGCCUAAUACAUGCAAGUCGAGCGGACCAAGGGAGCUUGCUCCUAGAGGUUAGCGGCGAACGGGUGAGUAACACGUGGGCAACCUGCCUGUAAGACUGGGAUAACAUCGAGAAAUCGGUGCUAAUACCGGAUAAUAAAAAGAACUGCAUGGUUCUUUUUUGAAAGAUGGUUUCGGCUAUCACUUACAGAUGGGCCCGCGGCGCAUUAGCUAGUUGGUGAGGUAACGGCUCACCAAGGCGACGAUGCGUAGCCGACCUGAGAGGGUGAUCGGCCACACUGGGACUGAGACACGGCCCAGACUCCUACGGGAGGCAGCAGUAGGGAAUCUUCCGCAAUGGACGAAAGUCUGACGGAGCAACGCCGCGUGAGUGAUGAAGGUUUUCGGAUCGUAAAACUCGGUUGUUAGGGAAGAACAAGUGCCGUUCGAAAGGGCGGCACCUUGACGGUACCUAACGAGAAAGCCACGGCUAACUACGUGCCAGCAGCCGCGGUAAUACGUAGGUGGCAAGCGUUGUCCGGAAUUAUUGGGCGUAAAGCGCGCGCAGGCGGUCUCUUAAGUCUGAUGUGAAAGCCCCCGGCUCAACCGGGGAGGGUCAUUGGAAACUGGGAGACUUGAGUACAGAAGAGGAGAGUGGAAUUCCACGUGUAGCGGUGAAAUGCGUAGAGAUGUGGAGGAACACCCAGUGGCGAAGGCGACUCUCUGGUCUGUAACUGACGCUGAGGCGCGAAAGCGUGGGGAGCAAACAGGAUUAGAUUACCCUGGUAGUCCACCGCCCGUAAACGAUGAGUGCUAGGUGUUAGGGGUUUCGAUGCCCUUAGUGCCGAAGUUAACACAUUAAGCACUCCGCCUGGGGAGUACGACCGCAAGGUUGAAACUCAAAGGAAUUGACGGGGGCCCGCACAAGCAGUGGAGCAUGUGGUUUAAUUCGAAGCAACGCGAAGAACCUUACCAGGUCUUGACAUCCUUUGACCACCCUAGAGAUAGGGCUUUCCCCUUCGGGGGACAAAGUGACAGGUGGUGCAUGGUUGUCGUCAGCUCGUGUCGUGAGAUGUUGGGUUAAGUCCCGCAACGAGCGCAACCCUUGACCUUAGUUGCCAGCAUUCAGUUGGGCACUCUAAGGUGACUGCCGGUGACAAACCGGAGGAAGGUGGGGAUGACGUCAAAUCAUCAUGCCCCUUAUGACCUGGGCUACACACGUGCUACAAUGGAUGGUACAAAGGGUUGCGAAGCCGCGAGGUGAAGCCAAUCCCAGAAAGCCAUUCUCAGU
rnacentral:rRNA from 2 species